ACACGACUACAUUAGAUACCCCUGUAGUCCUAGCCGUAAACGAUACUCGCUAGGUGUCGGCCACGGUGCGACCGUUGUCGGUGCCGUAGGGAAGUCGUGAAGCGAGCCACCUGGGAAGUACGGCCGCAAGGCUGAAACUUAAAGGAAUUGGCGGGGAGCACAACAACGGGUGGAGCUUGCGGUUUAAUUGGAUUCAACGCCGGAAAUCUUACCGGGACCGACAGCAACAUGAAGGCCAAGCUGAAGACUUUGCCGGAUUAGCUG
rnacentral:rRNA from 1 species